rnacentral:piRNA from 1 species
UGUGUUUGUGAGUGUGUACACACACAGCCC